rnacentral:rRNA from 1 species
AAUAUUGGACAAUGGGGGGAACCCUGAUCCAGCCAUUCCGCCUGUGCGAUGAAGGCCUUCGGUUUNUAAAGCACUUUUGGCAGGGANGAAAUUGCGCGGGCUAAUACUCUGCGUGGAUGACGGUACCUGCAGAAUAAGCACCGGCUAACUACGUCCCACCAGCCGUGGUAAUACGUAGGGUGCAAGCGUUAAUCGGAAUUACUGGGCGUAAAGGGUGCGCAGGCGGCUCGGAAAGAAAGAUGUGAAAUCCCAGGGCACAACCGUGGAACUGCAUUUGUAACUACCGGGCUAGAGUGUGUCAGAGGGAGGUGGAAUUCCGCGUGUAGCAGUGAAAUGCGUAGAUAUGCGGAGGAACACCGAUGGCGAAGGCAGCCUCCUGGGAUAACACUGACGCUCAGGCACGAAAGCGUGGGGAGCAAAC